rnacentral:tRNA from 1 species
AGGAAUUUAGGUUAACNCUAGACCAAGAGCCUUCAAAGCCCUAAGCAAGUAGCUUNUACUUAAUUCCUG